rnacentral:rRNA from 1 species
UACCAGCUCUCCGAGUGGUAGGGAUGAUUAUUGGGCUUAAAGCGUCCGUAGCUGGCUUAGCAAGUCUCCUGUUAAACUCAGCGACCUAAUCGUUGAGCCGCGGGAGAUACUACUAGGCUAGGAGGCGGGAGAGGUCGACGGUACUUUCGGGGUAGGGGUGAAAUCCUAUAAUCCCGGGAGGACCACCAGUGGCGAAGGCUGUCGACUAGAACGCGCUCGACAGUGAGGGACGAAAGCUGGGGGAGCGAACCGGAUUAGAUACCCGGGUAGUCCCAGCUGUAAACUAUGCGGGCUAGGUGUUGGGGUGGCUACGGGCCACUUCAGUGCCGCAGGGAAGCCAUUAAGCCCGCCGCCUGGGGAGUACGGCCGCAAGGCUGAAACUUAAAGGAAUUGGCGGGGGAGCACCACAAGGCGUGAAGCUUGCGGUUC